CCAGAUUGCACCACUGUCCUCCAGCCUGGGCAAUAGAGCAAGACCCUUUCUCAAAAAUGAAAAAGAACAUUCUGGAGAGACAGAGAAGCAAGAGGGACCAGAAAGGGGCUUGAGAUAUUUUGCAGACCCUGCACUUGAUGGAUCAGCUGGCACCACCCAGAUCAAUAAACUGGCUCAUCUGAUCUUGUGGCCCCCACCCAGAACUGACUCUGCAAGAAGACAGCUCUGACUCCUGAUGAUUUCAUCUCUGACCAAUCUGCACUCCCAGAUCCCAGCACUUUGGGAGGACCAGACAGGCAGAUCACAAGGUCAGGAUGAGAGGUGACAGCGUGCUGGCAGCCCUCACUCACUCUGGGCGCCUCCUCGGCCUCCACGCCAACUCUCCCUGCGCUUGAGGAGCCCUUCAGCCCGCCGCUGCACUGUGGGAGCCCCUCUCUGGGCUGGCCGAGGCGGGAGCCCGCUCCCUCUGCUUGCCAGAGGUGUGGAGGGAGAGGCGCGGACGGGAACUGGGGCUGCGGGCCACGCUCGAGGGCCAGCAUGAGUUCCGGGUGGGCGUGGGCUCGGUGGGCCCCGCACUCAGAGAGGCCGGCUGGCGCCAUUGGCCCCAGGCAGUGAGGGGCUUAGCACCCAGACCAGCAGCUGCAGAGGGUGCGCCAGGUCCCCCAGCAGUGCCAGCCCACAGGUGCACUUGAAUUCUCGCAGGCCUCAGCUGCCUCCCCACGGGGCAGGGCUUGGGACCUGCAGCCCGCCAUGCCCAAGCGUCCCCCUGCCUGGGCUCCUGCACCGCCCCCUGCUCUGCGGGGCCUGGUCCCAUCAACCGCCCAAGGGCUGAGGAGUGCAGGCACAGGAUUGGUGGGCAGCUCCACCUGCAGCCCAGGUGCUAGGUCCACUAGGUGAAGCCAGCUGGGCUCUUGAGUCUAGUGGGCACUUGGAGAACCUUUAUGUCUAGCUAAGGGAUUGUAAAUACACCAAUCAGCACUCUGUGUCUAGCUCAAGGUUUGUAAACACACCAAUCAGCACCCUGUCAAAAUGGACCAAUCAGCUCUCUAUAAAACAGACCAGUUGGCUCUCUGUAAAAUGGGCCAAUCAGCAGGAUGUGGGUGGGGCCAGAUAAGGCAAUAAAAGCAGGCUGCCAGAGCCAGCAGUGGCAACUCGGCGUACCCUUCCACAUAGGAAGCUUUGUUCUUUUGAUCUUUCCAAUAAAUCUUGCUGCUGCUUAUCCUGGGUCUGCACUGCCUUUAUGAGCUGUAACAUCGUGAAGGUCUGCAGCUUCACGCCAGAGGCCAGCGAGACCACGAACCCACCAGAAGGAAGAAACUCGGAACACGUCCGAACAUCAGAAGGAACAAACUCCGGACAUGCCGCCUUUAAGAACUGAAACACUCACCGUGAGGGUCCGCAGCUUCAUUCUUGAAGUCAGUGAGACCAAGAACCCGCCAAUUCUGGACACAAGGAGAUCGAGACCAUCCUGGCUAACACGGUGAAACCCCAUCUCUACUAAAAAUACAAAAAAUUUAUUAGGCGUGUUGGCGGAUGCCUGUAGUCCCAGCUAGUCCCAGCUACUCCCAGCUACUUGGGAGGCUGAGGCGGGAGAAUGGCAUGAACCUGGGAGGCGGAGCUUGCAGUGAGCCGAGAUUGCGCCACUGCCCUCAAGCCUGGGCGACAGAGCAAGACUCCAUCUCAAAAAAACAAAACAAAAACAAACAAAAAAACCCUCUGUUUCCCGAAUGCUCAGGGAGACUGAUUUGAGUAAUAAUAAAACUCCUGGCUGGACACAGUGGCUCACGCCUGUAAUUUCAGCAAUUUGGGAGGCCAAGGCCGGUGGAUCACCUUAGGUUGGGAGUUUGAGACCAGCGUGACCAACAUGGAGAAAACACUGUCUCUACUAAAAAUACAAAAUUAGCCAGGUGUGGUGGCAAGUGCCUGUAAUCCCAGCUACUCAGGAGGCUGAGGCAGGAGAAUCUCCGCCUCCCGGGUUCAAGAUAUUCUUCUGCUUCAGCCAUCCAAGUAGCUGGGAUUACAGGUGUGUACCACCGUGCCUGGCAGUUAUGUGUGUUUCCCUACAAUCAAACAAUGAUUUAUUGUAAAAAAAAAAAAAAUCAAAAUAAACAAAACCUGAAAACUUGU
rnacentral:lncRNA from 1 species